AAGUCGUAACAAGGUUUCCGUAGGUGAACCUGCGGAAGGAUCAUUACAAAAUAGCUUUGGGGGCACGGUAUUAAGAUUUCUUGUACCUGCUCACAUAUGCCCACUCCCGAAAGGGAGCUGGACUAGCACACAUUGUGUGUUAAAUAGACUUUAAAUCAUGACUUAUUUAUUAUUAAAAUAACCAAAACUUUUAACAAUGGAUCUCUUGGCUCUU
rnacentral:misc_RNA from 1 species